GCCAGUGUGACAUAGUGGUUUGAGUGUUGGACUAUGAUUCUGGAGACCCAGGUUCGAUUCCCCACUUGGCCA
rnacentral:tRNA from 1 species